rnacentral:lncRNA from 1 species
AGGAGGAUGGGCCUUAGCCUAUAAAGGACCUUCCAGCAGUGGAAACCCAACCUCAGUAACAGGAGAUUCCUUGAAGGAGAUUCAGUCUGGUAGAACAAGCUGAUUGAUGAAUCAGAGAGCAUAUAUGGUUUAUGAUGCGAGACAUGAUCUAAAAUUUAGAUGCUAUGAUUCUACAGAUGCGACAUGCAAUUUAAAACCCAUGCAAAA